AUCCUACAAAUGCAAGUUGCAAUGCUACUGAUUGGAUCCAUAUACUAAUUCUGAUACAAGUUGGCCCAACUUUCAUCAUUUCUGCCAUCAACUCAUACAUCAAUUAUAGACAUUGGAUGCAGAUACUAAUUCUGAUACCAAUUGGCCUGAUUUUUAUCAUCUCCACUAUCAUCCUGUUCAUCCGUUAUAAACAUGAGCAUUGUG